UCUUCUUUAUUAUGUAUAUAAAAUUAAAUAUUUUUUAUAGAUUUAUUUUUGUUUAAAGCUUGGAUUGAUUCAAUUGAUCAAUGUUUUUGGAUAUUAAAGAUAAAAGAUCUUUAUUAUUCAUAGUAAUUUUAUUGAUUCCUUGAUAAUCCAUACACAUGUUUAGUGAUUUACCUUUUUCUUCACAAACAAGAUAGAGUCUCAAGUUGGAGAUUUUGAAUGGCAUAUAAAAAUUUUGGCAAAUUUUUCAUCAAUGUAUUCCUUGAAUGUAGUUAAAUCAUUUUAUAAUAAGCUAUAAAUUGGUCCAAAUAGUAGUUGAGAUCCUUCGUAAAGAUCAAUUAAAAAAUCAUAAA
rnacentral:lncRNA from 1 species